GGCAGCGGGGCCCAGGGGCGGCGGGGCUGCAGCAGCGGCGGCCCCAGCUUCGCCGAGCAGCGAUCGGCUGGUGGGCUUCUCGUUGGCGGGCUCCGCGUUGGCGGGCUGCUCCCCAGGCACCAGCGCAGCGCGCGCUCGCCCGGCUUCGUCACUCGCCUCCAGCUACAUCCGCCGGCCGAGGCUGCGCGAGCCUCCGGGCUUGCGGUCCCCGCCCCGCGGUCCUUCCUCCACCCUCAGCCAGGGCAGCUGCAGCCCGAGCGAACAGCCACGGAGCAUCCUCCGCCCGCCCGGGCCGCGCCACCGCCCAUGCUGCAGCCAGUCCCAGGCAGCGACCCCGCGGCCGCAGCCCGCCGCUCAGUGACCUCAGCCUGGC
rnacentral:lncRNA from 1 species